UACAGAGGUGGCAAGCGUUGUUCGGAAUUACUGGGCGUAAAGGGCGCGUAGGCGGUUCGUCAAGUCCUGUGUGAAAUCCCCCGGCUCAACUGGGGAACUGCACAGGAAACUAGCGGGCUUGAGUUCGGGAGAGGGAAGCGGAAUUCCGGGUGUAGCGGUGAAAUGCGUAGAUAUUCACAAGAACACCAGUGGCGAAGGCGGCUCACUGGCCCGAUACUGACGCUGAGGCACGAAAGCGUGGGGAGCAAACAGG
rnacentral:rRNA from 1 species